rnacentral:rRNA from 1 species
GAUGAGCGCUGGCGGUGUGCCUAAUACAUGCAAGUCGAGCGAACAGACGAGGAGCUUACUCCUCUGACGUUAGCGGCGGACGGGUGAGUAACACGUGGAUAACCUACCUAUAAGACUGGGAUAACUUCGGGAAACCGGAGCUAAUACCGGAUAACAUGUUGAACCGCAUGGUUCAACAGUGAAAGACGGUCUUGCUGUCACUUAUAGAUGGAUCCGCGUCGCAUUAGCUAGUUGGUAAGGUAACGGCUUACCAAGGCAACGAUGCGUAGCCGACCUGAGAGGGUGAUCGGCCACACUGGAACUGAGACACGGUCCAGACUCCUACGGGAGGCAGCAGUAGGGAAUCUUCCGCAAUGGGCGAAAGCCUGACGGAGCAACGCCGCGUGAGUGAAGAAGGUCUUCGGAUCGUAAAACUCUGUUAUUAGGGAAGAACAAAUGUGUAAGUAACUAUGCACGUCUUGACGGUACCUAAUCAGAAAGCCACGGCUAACUACGUG